rnacentral:lncRNA from 1 species
CUUAAAAAGAGCUUAAAAUACUAAAUUGUUGAUCUGACCCGAACAGCUUUUGACUUUAAAAAGGUCAUGAAAGUGGUUCUGCGCUCGGUGACUCGGACCAGCCGACACCUCUGUCCGAGCAGCAGCUUGAACGUGUGAGAGGAGGAGCCUCGACAGCGUUCGAUGUUCCCCACGCCCAGCUCCUGCAAGCGCGCAGAAACACAGCGGCGUGAAGCAGACGCUCGUCAGCAAACGCCGCCCGCCGCACCGCCUCCUCACCUUAGCGGCGUGCUGCAGGGCCGUCUGCAGGGCUGUUCUCCAGGCCCGAACGAACGUCAGGUCGAUGUUGAGGCUCUGCAGCUGGCGCAUGUUGGUGAUGACCUCGCCUGGAGAAAGCCGCAGAUGGAGAAGUGGAAGACAGCCUCAUCGAGUCCAGACGGGAAGUGAAGAACUGUCUGGAUAAACGUGGUACCGGGGAAGCAGUCCAGAUCCUCCGUCAGCUCAGGCAGCAGACUCUUCUUCAGCAGCUGCACACACAUCAUCUUCCUGAACAGAGCGAGCAGACGGGCCUGCAGAGAGCCGCCGCCUCCUUCUGGACCUUCACCCUGAAACACCAAAAGCAUCUGAGUGGAGAACCGCCUCUCGGUGAGGAGGAGAACCACACAGCGGACUCGGUGAGACCUCCAUAUGCAGAUCUUUGUUCUUUCCAGUUCCUCAGCGCGCGUUGGACGCCAUGAAGAAGAGUUUCCUCCAGGUGCAUCCGCGUUCAAGCUGCUUCCCUGAGAAGGAAAAACUUGAAACAAUGAAAAAUAAUCCUGCGGCACUCUAGUAUCCAAAUAUGUAAAACAUUUUAGUCUGUAUUGAUGUACAAUCUAGUUUACAAUUUUUAAAUAAGUGGGAAGAGUCUUUGCAGCACAGAGGUGCUACCAUUUUAACCCAAUGUUUCUCAGUGUUAAUUCUCGUAACCCCCCCACACACACACACCACACACACACACAAAACUUUCUGCUGCGAAUAUCAUUGGUACCAUUAGUCAAUUUGCUCAAGUUAAACUUACACCACUUCAAAACAGUCUACAUUUAUUAUCAAUAAAGAAUGAUAAAAACAAAAAUCUAAAAAAAUAAUCAGCUUUUAUGAAUGUUUCUUCUUUUUUUUUAAGAAUACUUCCAAAACUUUCAAAGUAAAAAAAACGGUCUUUCCUUGUUUCCCUCCACAGUCGUGAUGGGAAUUCUGGCUCUUCUAAAAACUUCAGUUCUUUUGCAUUAACUCUCUGAAAACAGCGGCUUUUUCAGCUACCAAAUGACUUUUUAAGUUGUUUUUUGCAUUAUUUAAUUUAUUAUAAACUAUUAUAUAGGAUUAUGCACAAAGUCCAUAAUGUAAACAUGUUUUCAUUUAUUAAACUUUAUAUUAUGUUUGUGUUAUGAUUUAUUCCUUCCAGAUAGAAUGUACAAAAUCAAUGAAAAAAACAACUUUUAAACAUUCCGUUUUUAACUCUACACAUUUUAAGUUUUUUUCCUUUUAAACACAUUUGAAGUGAACAAGACAAAACUCUGCAACCACAAUCCAAAAGACAAAUUAAAUUGUGCAAAACUAAUAAAGACUUUUAUUCACAAUAACAUUAAGAAAGACAAA